AACGUAGGGUGCAAGCGUUGUCCGGAAUUACUGGGCGUAAAGGGAGCGCAGGCGGACCGGCAAGUUGGAAGUGAAAACUAUGGGCUCAACCCAUAAAUUGCUUUCAAAACUGCUGGCCUUGAGUAGUGCAGAGGUAGGUGGAAUUCCCGGUGUAGCGGUGGAAUGCGUAGAUAUCGGGAGGAACACCAGUGGCGAAGGCGACCUACUGGGCACCAACUGACGCUGAGGCUCGAAAGCAUGGGUAGCAAACAGG
rnacentral:rRNA from 1 species